GCGCGCCUAAUUGUAGCGGGAUUCGAAGGUGAACUUUGGUGUCACAUUGUAAAAAUUUCAUAUCAAAAUCCUUAGCAUAAUCAAUCAUUCAACUUCAAUUUAUUUUGUCCAUUCAAAUAAAUUUAUUCAACCGUCAAAAUAUUUACAAUUAUAUUUUUAUAUGAUUUUGUCAUUGCCAUCUCGAUCAUACUGUUAACUGUUCCAAGGAGGAUAAUAAACUGUUCUAAUACUCUGUUACAGAAUGUAGUAUCUGUUCCAUUUUUAAAUUAUUACUAUAGAAGUACUGUUUUGAUUUGAAUAAAUUAUUAUUAUACAAGCUUUACUAACUGAUCUUCACCUUCCAGUCUUAUGUUUUGUUAAGACUUUAUUAUGAGUUCAAAAUGUAAUUAUAUUUAGUAUACUGUUGAGUGUUUUUUGAAUGUGAUAAUUGAGUUUCUUAUCUAAAAUAUUUAAAAGUGAAUCUCAAUAUAGAACUAUCUUUUUGCAAAUAUUUCUGUAAUAGCCGGUCUUGAGCUGUUCUUGAAGAAUGAAGUGCAAGAAUAUUCCGGCUGAGUUCCAUCGUGAAAGAGUUGGCGUUGCAUCUAGUGCAGAUGCUCGAUUCACCCAUAACAAGAUCGAAGUUGAACUGGUUUGUCGCCGCUUCAACGGAACUUGCUAUUAUACCACACAACCAAGAAUAUCACCAUCUAUUUCACUUGACUAUUUCGUAUGGAUUGGUGAUUUAUACACUUUGACUGUUCUGUACUGUAUGGAAUUUGAGUAUUCAUAAGAAUGACUUGUCUUAUACUCCCUCCUGAAGUCUCCAAGACGAAAUCUUAAAAAAAAUCUAGUCUAUACACCAGGCUGCAUCAUAGAUUACUUCUGCUUGGAUCACCAUGCUAUAAUAAGUCAAUUGAUAACAUCUCCGAUAUGUCAAUAAUCCUCAUUUUAUAGUAAACCCUUGAGAUUGAAGUGCUAGAUGAAUUACUUGAAAAGGUGACGGUCAACCCGAAUUUAUGUUUCUUGAAUUAUCUUUGUUCGGUUGUGAAUCACCCAGAAUUGUGCAUGGGUUUUUGCCAGAUCAAUGCGAAUGAAGUUUACCAUAAAAAUAUUUUAAGGGACGGUUUCCGAGCUCGGGAUUUAGCUAAGUUCUAGACUUUAAACAGCUGGAGUCAGAAAACUGGCUUUCCGAAACGGGGCCUCGUCGUAGUCCACGUUUAAAUUAA
rnacentral:misc_RNA from 1 species